AGUGAACGCUGGCGGUAGGCCUAACACAUGCAAGUCGAACGGCAGCACAGUAAGAGCUUGCUCUUACGGGUGGCGAGUGGCGGACGGGUGAGGAAUACAUCGGAAUCUACUUUUUUGUGGGGGAUAACGUAGGGAAACUUACGCUAAUACCGCAUACGACCUACGGGUGAAAGCAGGGGAUCUUCGGACCUUGCGCGAUUGAAUGAGCCGAUGUCGGAUUAGCUAGUUGGCGGGGUAAAGGCCCACCAAGGCGACGAUCCGUAGCUGGUCUGAGAGGAUGAUCAGCCACACUGGAACUGAGACACGGUCCAGACUCCUACGGGAGGCAGCAGUGGGGAAUAUUGGACAAUGGGCGCAAGCCUGAUCCAGCCAUACCGCGUGGGUGAAGAAGGCCUUCGGGUUGUAAAGCCCUUUUGUUGGGAAAGAAAAGCAGCAGGUUAAUACCCCGCCGUUCUGACGGUACCCAAAGAAUAAGCACCGGCUAACUUCGUG
rnacentral:rRNA from 1 species